UCAGUACCUUUCUGAGCGUUGGCAUAUCAUGUUUACUACCACGAUCGCGCGCUCUUUAUUAACCGUUGUGUCUGUAGUCGCUUAUUAUACGUGUUGUGAGUUUGUGUAUAUAUUACUACCAACUAUGUUUGUCUCUUUAGCUUACUGACUGUUUGAGUUGUGAGUUGAGUUCUUUUCGCACAGAUAAGAAAACGUCAAAAUAUUAGGCGUAUUAUUUUAAUCGUCAAUUGUACCACAGCUACUUAGGCUCUAAAAGAGCGUUGGCCAAGGACUCCUAGGAUUCGGACAAAUAUUUGAGAAAGGCGAUGACGAACGUGAAAAACAAACUAACAAAACAAAAAAACAGAAAUACUAACUAUAAUUGUCCCC